UGGGGAAUUUUAAGAGCCGCAUGAGUCAGAGAGUGCAGUUCGCACAUCGAUUUAAAUACGGCACACACACAUACACUCACACACUACUUAAAUGUGCGAGUGUGUGUGUGUUUACGCCCACGCCUUAAAUUAUUGAACCAAAAAUUAAAAUAGGGAAAGACAUUGCUGAAAAAUAUUGCCGAAAUACAUUUUCAACACGAGGCCAAGUGCUGUCUGCUUAACCUUUGAUGAAUGAACAGAGGAACAAAAAGAACAUAACCAAGCUGAGGAGCAGAGAGAAACGGCAGCGGAAAGAAAAGAAAAGCAAAGAGAACCUACAACAAAAAUUCAUCAUGAACGAGUUCAACAGCAGCCGUUCGUUUGUUCUCGUUGCUGCGCAUUGGUAUGCGUGUUGGCCCGCGUUUGUGUGUGUGUUUGUAAAUUUGUGAAAAAGAAAAGCAACCAUAAAAUGUUUGCACGCUACCGCAGAAAAUAAUCAGCAGAUUGUCUCUCUCUUGACCAAAAAAUGUUUGACAUACGUUUCACUGCUGCAGCAACAAAAACAAGAGCAGCUAGGAAGAAGCAGAAGCGGCACUGGCGUUGCCAGACCGGCAAUUGACAUCUUUGUCACGCUGCCCAAAAGAGAAUUCGCGAAAGCAGUCGAAAAAAAAUUAUGUACAUGUGUAAGCAGCGAGGAAAUUAAACUACAAAUUUGCGUGGGAGAGGCGGGGGGUCAAUUGCAAGAUCCCAUCGAUGCGAUGACCUUUGAUUUUAAUUGAGUAGCUGCAGCAUAAAAGCUUUUACGUUUUUUCUUCUUUCAGCUUGCAUUUAGCAUUUCGCAAACGUGCUUGUUUGCUAGACAAAGAAAUACAUAGGCAUUUACGCAUACUAUGGCAAGCCAGUGAGCAGUCGAACAGCUGAUAAAUCAUUCACACACACUAUCAAGCGAAUAGGGCUAGCACACACAAACAGCCUUCCGGUGUGUAUGAGAGAAAGAGAGCGACGCUGCAACAACAAUUGCGUGUAGCACAAAUAUGUGCGAUCAAUUCGAUUCGAGGUAUUUCCCCACGUAAAAUUGUAUAUAAUGCAAAUCUGUGGAGCGGCAUGCGUGGAUUUUGUUUGAAAUAUAAAUACUUGUUUGUUCAACUACAAUAAUAAAUCACUCGGUUAUUCUGAUAA